rnacentral:rRNA from 1 species
UACGUAGGUCCCGAGCGUUGUCCGGAUUUAUUGGGCGUAAAGCGAGCGCAGGUGGUUUAUUAAGUCUGGUGUAAAAGGCAGUGGCUCAACCAUUGUAUGCAUUGGAAACUGGUAGACUUGAGUGCAGGAGAGGAGAGUGGAAUUCCAUGUGUAGCGGUGAAAUGCGUAGAUAUACGGAGGAACACCGGUGGCGAAAGCGGCUCUCUGGCCUGUAACUGACACUGAGGCUCGAAAGCGUGGGGAGUAAACAGG